CAAUAGCGAUUCUCAUAAUUCUUUCUCUCUUUUCAUUCAAUUUUCUCUCUCCUCCUGCAAAUCCUCUCUACUAUUGCGCUUCAUCUUCUUCAACUUCGUUGUUUCUCGUUGUUCUUGCAAAUAUCUUUACAUUUUUUUGCGACUCUCUUCCAAUUAUUUUUCCAGGGACAAAAAUUAGAUGUUAUCAAGCUAUACCCAGAACCAGAGUCAGUUUAUUGUGCCUCAUGUUUGAGAAAAACUAGUUGCAAAAUUGUCCAUACAUGUACAAAGAGUCUUCCUUUUAACUGGACAUGUGCAAGUGACAACGAAAGGUGUAGGAACUCUUGGAGAAUUGAAAUUCACUGAUAAUUCAAGCUGGAUAAGAAGUAGACAGUUCAGAUUAGGUCUGAAGGUUGUCUCAGGUUAUGGUGAAGGUGUUCGUAUUCAUAAAGAAAAAACAGAAGCUUUCACCGUCAAGGAUCACGGAGGGGGAUGCUAGAGUGAGCAUCUUUGGUAAAAGCAGGCGAGUAGUGAGCAUUUCCAUAUCUUUGAGCCUUCUGACACUAAGGACACACAGAAGAAUGACAAGGAUCAUUCUGGUUAUAUAUUCUUCAGGUUGGAUAAUAGGCUUCACUGAACUUUUCUUGCCGUCUCCUCCAGUUAUGGAGUUUUUGUUUUACUUUUAUUCAUUCUAUUUAAAACACUAGCCUACUAGCUCAAUUGGUAGAGCAUUAUGCAAAAGCACAAAAGAUGUGGGUUCGAAUCCCACGUGGGUUUGUUUACUUUUGAGUUUCCUUUAUUUACUUUUGAGUCUAUAUAUAUUGUUUACUUUUGAGUUUA